UACAUACUCCCCCGUCCCAAAAUUCUUGUCUUAGAUUUGUCUAAAUACGGAUGUAUCAAGGUAUUUAGACAAAUCUAAGACAAGAAUUUUGGGAUGGACGGAGUAUAUA
rnacentral:pre_miRNA from 1 species